rnacentral:rRNA from 1 species
GUAGGGUGCGAGCGUUGUCCGGAAUUACUGGGCGUAAAGAGCUCGUAGGUGGUUUGUCGCGUUGUCCGUGAAAACUCACAGCUUAACUGUGGGCGUGCGGGCGAUACGGGCAGACUGGAGUACUGCAGGGGAGACUGGAAUUCCUGGUGUAGCGGUGGAAUGCGCAGAUAUCAGGAGGAACACCGGUGGCGAAGGCGGGUCUCUGGGCAGUAACUGACGCUGAGGAGCGAAAGCGUGGGGAGCGAACAGGAUUAGAUACCCUGGUAGUCCACGCCGUAAACGGUGGGUACUAGGUGUGGGUUUCCUUCCUUGGGAUCCGUGCCGUAGCUAACGCAUUAAGUACCCCGCCCGGGGAGUACGGCCGCAAGGCUA